rnacentral:lncRNA from 1 species
AGACACUGAAUCUGCUGGGGACUUAAUCUUGGAGUUUCCAGUCUCCAGAAUUAUAAGAAAUAAAUUUCUAUUAUUUAUAAAUUAACCAAUCUAAGGUAUUCUGUUUAGCAGCCCGAAUAAUGGACUAAGACAGACGCCUAACAUAUGAUCUAUCCUAGAUAAUGCUCUCUUCGCAUUCAGGAAGAAUGUAUAUUCUGCUUCUGAAUGGAAAAAAACAAAAUCAGGAUCAGGCACGGUGGCGCAUAAGGCCAGGAGUUUGAGACGUCUAGGCAACACAGCAAGAUCCAUUUGGUCCAAAGUUUUCAGGUGCUGGUUCCAUGGCUCUUCCUGAGCCGAAAAUAAGGAAACUCCAUAGACCUUGUCCACUGGAACUCGUUCCCAUCUACCCUCCACUCUAUCCAGGGUGAUGGAUCUCUGCAGUAAGUGGAAGAGUUCUUCAUGGCCCCCAAGGUUAUAUCCAUCUAGAACUUCAGCACGUAAUUUCAUCUGGAAAUAGUGCCUUUGCGGAUAUAAGUUAGGUAAAACUGAAGAUGAGAUCAUACUGGAUUAGGAUGGGAUCUAAAUCCAAUGAAAAUGUCUUCAUAAAAAACAGGAAAGAACCCAUAGAAACACAAGGAAGAAGGUCAUGUGAAGAUGGAGGCAGAGAUUGGAGGGAUGCAGCCACCGGCCCAGGAAUGCCAGCAGCCACCCAGAAGCUGGAAGGAAAUGAGGGAUUCUCUCCUAGAACCUUUAGAGAGAACAUGGUCCUGUGAACAGCUUGAUUUUGGACUUGCCCAUAGCUUGUAUACUCUUACUUUGGAUACAAUUUUAUCCAAACUUGGCUAAACAGUUUCUCAGCCUAUGGAAAAUUUAAAAUGGAGAAGAUUCAACUCGAUUCUUACAGAUUCAAAGCAAGAAAAUGAUGGGAACAUAGGAGGAGACCAAGAAAGCCUAUAAAAAGCAAAAAUAUGAAGUGAACAUUGUGGUAGCUUUAAGAUGUUUAGUGUAGCUGCAGGCACCCUAUACACAUGAAAACCCCCAAGGGGAAUCCCCAUAUCACAGUGUAGUGUGAUAUUUGACAUUCGUGAUCAUCUAGAGAUGUACAGAAAAGGUGAAUCUGUGUUCUGUAUAUUCUGCCUAAGGCAAAGAAAUGUUUAGCUCUCUUUAAAAUAGUUCCAUAAUUUUUUCUAAAAAGCUUUGCUUGAAAACUGUAAGCUUCCCAUAUCUGGAGCAUUUCACUUUAAAUAUUUGGAUAAAUAUGUUAUCUUCUUACUUGGACAUUUCAUGUGUUUAGGGAUUGUCUUCUAAAUUCUUCCUAAUUCAUAUAGCUGCUAACACUUCCCGCAGAGCUAAACCAUUACAGAUAUGAAAUAAAGACCUA